rnacentral:lncRNA from 1 species
UUUUGUAUAUUUUAUUAGAAAUAAUUUCAUAUCAAUACCAUUGAAGCCAACAUCACUAUGUUGUAUGGCUGACUGAACUAAUGAAUUUUUCUUCUACUUCAAAAUCUUGUUUAAAACGAAUACAUCACUAUUUACUAGAAUAGCCUUAAAUCACUAUUUACUAGAGCAGCCUUACAUCACUAUUUACUAAAACGCCUUCAUCGGUUGACUCAACUCAUGAGUUUUUUUAUUUUUUUUGCACAACCCUAUAAUAAGUAACUAAUCUCUAAAACAGAAUACGUGUAUGCAUGAUAAUAACUUCUAGUAGAAAUCUCGAAAAGAACAAGAUGGAAGUCUUUCUUAAAUUGAUAGGUAAUAUUUUGAACACUAAAAAGAAGAAUGAAAUUACUAGAACGAAGGAAAUAAAAUGGGGUCGAGCGUUGUGUUUUUGGCUUGGGAAAAGAAGAGAGUGAGAAGGAGCAGAAUGAAAACCCACGGAAG